rnacentral:antisense_RNA from 1 species
CUUCACCGAACCGAGCAGCAGCGGACGCUCCGGGUCACGAUCACGGCCGUACGUGGCCAGCAGCGCCUGCGCCUC